UUCAGCUGGUGUUUACAGAUGACACUCCUCUGUGUGACUGUUCUUCCAAGGAUUGUUUCUGCUUCAGUUACUGCAGGCACUCAGUGAGGAUUACAGUAGAAUACAUGUUAUUUAUUUAUUUUUUGUACAGAAAGAUGUUCAAUAAUUUAAAAGUUGCUAUUUGCAUUCCCUUAGAAAGGAUCAGCUGAGGGAAAGAAAAAAAGUAGUUGUUCUAGGGGACAUGAGCCGUGACCUCAAUAAUCAAACUGAAAGUACAGGAUACUAAACUUAACAGCCUUUGAUGUAGUUAAACUUUUAAAAACAGCAGUUAACCUCCAAACAAUUAAUUGUGUUCUGCUGAGGCUGAAACGGGGCUCCUGGUGGGUCCGUGUACGGAUCUGGUAAUUGGAUUUUCCGUUCUGAAACGGGUAUUGAAAAACAAAAAACGAGUGGUUAUUUGAUUUUCGUUUUAAAAUACAAAAAUUAAAAUUGAAAUACAAGGCGUUUUUCCUUUUCAUGAUCAAAAAGGGAUAUACGAUUUUUUUUUUUUUAAUGCUUUGAUUUUCGUUUUAUAUUUAGAAUAACAAGAAAGUAAAAUCAGUAAGAGACAGAAACGACAAAAAGUCAGUUUUUUCAUUUUCUGAGACCGGAAGUGGUCAUCAGCAAGUGUGGAGCCAAACAGAGUACGGUGCAUAGACUGUAUAUACAUUUUUUUUUCGUUAAUUUUCAUGGUUAGAAUGAGAGAUCAGGUGAUCGAUCUUAAAAUAAAUCAAUAUUGAUUUUUUUAUAGUGUUAAAGUUUUGCAAAGCCAGGGGGCGGGACUACUUGAUUGACAGUCUGGUCUGGAAUGAUUGACAGGUCCUGUGGAGGAGGCAGCAGAGACUCUGCUCUCCUCGUUUGGAUUAAUUCUGAUAUAAUAACUGUUGGUUUAUUUAUCGGUGGAGCAGCACAACAUUUUCCACAGACAGUUUUCCUGCCCGUUUGCUUGUUUCAACCAGUUUUCUACCUUCGGCUGAUUCUACCAGCAGACACUGAAAGGACUCUGAUAGUUGGAGUGAAAGUAGCAAUUCCUCCUUAAGGUCAGAGAUUGCAGCAUCUGAGGGCCUCUUCAAAAGAAGACGUAGUUGAUGAAGGCGUUCUGGAGCAGGGCCAGAAAGACCACGACCAAGCAGCCUUGAGAUCUUAGGCAGCAUCUCCCUCAGGUCCCUCUCUAUCUCCCUACACAUCCACCAACCACUGGAACACAUCUCCAAAGUUCUGCCGGGCCAGCUCAGCUUCCCCUCAGAAGAAGUUCCACCACCUGCCAGAUGAAGGAGCCUUUUGAGAGGCAGCUGGCAUCGUGAUUGGACUGUACUUUGGUUUGUUCCAAUCCAGCUUCAGCUUCAGCUCCAGAGAUGGCAGGCGGGACGAGUCAACGGAGGCCUGGUGGACGAAGGCAUGAAGCUGAGUACAAUCCAGAAAACAACAGAGGAGGAGUGCAGGGCCAGAACAAACAGAGUAGCAUCGUAUGUCUCUUAGAAAACAUCAUAGUAUAGCCUUUGGUAUGAAAAAAUGCCAUAAUAUACAUUGUAUAUUGUACAUAUAACAAGUCAAAGGAAAGAGACAUACAUUGUAGAAUUGUAGUAAUUGUGGGCUGACUGAUUUACUGAUUAUCAGUAUUUUAUUUUCUACUGAUUUACGGUAAUAAAUACAUUUAAAAAUGGCGCUACUUUGGCUCUGAACCUUAAUCUACCUGUGGUCGCUCUGUCUUCUGGAGUGAUUUGAUUGGUUAUACGUCACAAAUAAAACUCCUUUAACUUAACAUCUGUAAACAAAACAAAAACGUAUCAACAAAGUUUCCUGUCAGAGUUUGUGUUCUUCUAAGUUUUUUAACUCAAGAUUUUAAAUACUUCCAUUUACUGAAUAUCGACUCCAAAUGUCUCAGUAAUAAUCAUUAUCAGCCUUAAAAAGCCACAAAACACCCCUCUAUACUCGACCACACGUAGUACAGUCCGGUUCCCCCUUCUAUAAAUCUGCUUGGAACCUUCCACUUCCUGUUUGUCAAAGUGGCCUUCUACCUGGACAGGUUUUGUUGGAGCUCAUGCAACAAACAUUUUGGGUAACUGCACUUUAAUAUGGAUGGAUGACACUGAAUUAGAGUCUGUUUUAAUGAGACUGAGUUCAGAUGUGUAGCUCUGUCAUUAAAUAGGAAAUUAUUUCUUAGAAUUCACAGAGAAAAGUCUGAAAUGUUUGCUAGGUUAGCGUCCCACAUGUUCUUUAGCUCAGCUAAAGCUAACUCUCUCCAGCUUCUGGAUCUCUUGAGUUGCUUGUUGUUAAAAUAUCUUGCUGUAGGUGCUGAAGCUCAGAAAGUCUGAGAUGUUUGUUCAAAAUAAGCUCAUUCUCAAGUCUUAUCUGAACUGUCCUCUUUUGUUUGAACUUUCCCUAAACUUAGGUGUUAAUAACAGAGCAGCACAUCCAGACUCAGUCUCAUUUAUGUAGAGAUUAAACUUCAGUGUCAUUCAUUGAUGUUAAAGUGCAGUUUUUCAAAUGUUUGUUGCACAUGCUCCCGACCAAAGCAGUCCAGGUGGAAGACGAUGUGAAGAGAAAGCUCCAGAGGAUGAAUAUCACACAUUUACGUUGGAAAUAAAUGUCCU